AUUGAUAGAGGCUGUUUACCAGCUGAGUGAAUUCAAUUUCUCUUUCUGUAUAUGGCUAUUGGGCUCCCUGUGAAUACUUUACCUGGUGUUGCCAUUAACCUCCUAGAAGUGAUUCUUCUUCUUUGUUCACAAUGAAGACUGGAAAGUACACAUGGUUACACAAAAACAGAAUAAAGGUGUGAUGAGGACAAGUUGAAAGCAGCAGAAGAGACUACAGGUGAAUAAGCAAAGGAAGGACUAAAUGAUAACGGAUAUGACUUUCUGUCCAGGAGAUGGGACUCCUAAAUGUAGGAGAUCAUCAGAGUGGACAAUGAGUUCUGGUGUUCUCUGAGGUCUCUAUCCCUGGGGCUCAUCUGCUUUGGAACUUACAACAGGAAGAGAGCCAAGUAUUUGGUCAUUAUCAGUGAUUUAUGAAACCCACAUUUUUUUUCCAGUUCAUCUCUGUUUGAUUUCUCUUCUUGCAAUGAAAUCACAGUCUUUUACCACUAACCUGCCUGUGUAAUUAUCAGGUUAUGAAAACAGACUAUAGAUGAAAGUGAAAUGGAAAAAGAGAAAUAAAUGUGCUGGUUGCAUAAGUGCUGUCAACAAAUAACUGAUAGUUUUCAUUUUUACCAGAAAAAAAAAAUAAUGCAAAAGGCUCCCCCACUGUGUGAAGAGUGUUCUUUAAAAAAGUUUGCUAAUUUUAGCAUCGCCUAUAUCAGGAAUUCUAUUAUGUUUCUAUUUACUACUUGUCAAGAAAUAUAAUACAAAGAUGAAUUUUCAUUCCAUUACUUUUUUUUGUCUCAUUACAUAUUGUUUACAAACAAAUUAUACAGUACAACCUUUUUAUAAGAAGACUUAAUCCCAAAGAAGAUAUAAAGCAUGCAUAGACUAAAUAUACAGCAGUUUUGUAUGAAGUUGCAAAUACUGACAAGUAUACUUGAAUAUCUUGAAAACAGAAGGCAAACAUAAAUAAUCUUGGUCAUGUUAUUAGUGUUUGUAGCAAUUGGACAGAUCAAAAUGAUGGGAAAAGGUGUUUCACCAGAGGUGUAAUGACAGAAGGAUCAGCACAAUAUAAAGGUGCUCUAAAGGAACAGAAGAAGAUUGCUUAUCCAUAUCAGAUUUCAGGUUUACAGGGAAAAAGCUCCAACAAGGAGGGAUUUCCAGAAAGAGAUCACUCCCCAGUGCCAGUCAGCCCUUAAAUGGGAUCUAGGAGAGUUGGAGCCAGGCUCCACCCCUUCUGGUCACACAGAUUAAUUGCCUUCACCUGUGCUCUCAGGGCUGACCUGGUCCUUUCCCCAGGUGAUCAAUCAGUGGUUCAGGCUGUGACUCAACAGUUACCAUGCAGUGUCAUUUUGCAGAGCAGAACUGUAUUUCAGAAGAAGCCUUCUCGAUACCUGGUGGACAAUUUGGAGGAAAAGAAAAAAAGGAAUAUUUAUUGUUACAAAAGAAGUUUCACUUAUUGCAAAUAUUCUCCAAGUAACAUACACUUUCUUCCGUCUAUUUUUCCAUUAAAUUAAGCAUAUUAUUCUUUCAGUUGCACCUCUACCUACCUAAACACUGUUUCAGUGAUUCAGCACCAAGAGUAGAUAAAGUGAUAUGGACUUAAACACUAAUUUGCUGCCAUCUCAGUUCAUACUGCAUUACUAGGCAUUAGAUACACAGCCAUGAGGAAGUAGGAACCUUUAGGUGGAAUUCAGCAUGACAUGAGGUUGAAAAGACUGGGAUAGAAAUGGAAGAGCCAACAAAAACUCUUAUUUUUCUGCAUUUUUCAGCUAAACUAAUAUCUUGGGACCACUAGAAAAUCAAAGGUAAUCAUUAGAUAUGAAAGCAAAACAUGAACAUCUGGAUUAAAUAUUGAUACACACAGACGACCAGGAUAAAAUUUUCAUUACUUGUAAAGGAGCCGAUAUAUUACCUUGGUGUUCAUGCUUUGUGGAGAAGAAUUGUUGUGGCAAUGUGUUCUGUAUUAUAUGGAUAACUAAUGUGAUAUGGGUCAAGGAAUUGCUCUAUGUUGUACUUAGACAAUAACAGAAGUUUUUGGACUGAAAAUCGAUGUAAGAAGGACCAGAUUUACAAUUGCAUAAAGACAGAAAUGAUUUGAGAUCUGUGCCCAUUUCUGAAUCUGUUUUCAGCCUUGAGCUGCUCUACUUCUUUCUCUUGUUUUGACAUUUUCUCUUGGGGAUUGCCAUAAAUUAGAUAUCCUGGUGUUAAUUUUAGCCAAAGGACAUGAGAAAAGAUGUAAAUUGUCAUGAAGUAGGUAAUUAUGCCUCAUGUAUUCCCUGAUUAUUCCUUUUUAAUUGAAUGGUCUAGCUGAAGGAAAGACUGUAGUAAAUGGAAUAAAAAACCAUAAUACUCUGCACAUGUAUUUACACUUUGCAUCUUUGAAGUGUUACAGAAAUUAGCUAAUCAAUAUAACAAAGUUUCAAAUGCCUUUUUUUGUUGUUGUUGUUAUGGGACAUAUUAAUGAAAGAGAGUGUCAGCACAGAAAUAUUGGAAAUAAUAGAAAAUGAUGUGAAGAUCUCAUGUAAAGUCAGCGUGGAAUAAACAUUCUCUGGGUUAUUUUUGGUUUUGUUUCAAUUUAGCUAACAAAAAUUCCCAAGCAAACAAAUACGAAUCCAGAGCACUCAUGUAUUAUAUGGAAAGGAACAUGCAGGUUUGAUGUCAGUAUUAAGAACACAGAUCAUUCACUGUUAAUUAUGUUGUUUGUUGCUGUUGUUGUUGUAUUUUUUUGUUAGUUUUGCCUUUAUUAUUUGUUAACUCUUUGUCUAUGUAUCUUUUCUACAAAUUGUCAUUUCUUACUAGGGCCUCAAACCUGGUAUGGGUCAGGAUGUUUUCUUUUCAUUUGGGACCACGAAGGUACCUUAUGUGUACCUUUACACUGCAUCCUGAUAAUUAUUGAAGGGGAAAAUUCUCUGUAGAGAAUUUGUACAGAACUAUUGUGUCAUCAAUAACAUGGGCAACAUACUGUUGCUCUCAUAUAAAAUUCCUGCUUAUGUCAAUGAGAGAUUUGGGCUUAAAUGAAUUAGCAUUCAGUCGGAAACUCUUGCUUUAACUGUUUUCCUGUUCACUAAAUUCCAUACAAGUUUUGUGAUUGUUCAAUAGGCUUCACUGUAGUUUCUGUUCUUUGUCCUGCAUUUAUAUUUUGGACUUUCAAAUUUACCAUAGAAAGCUUCUAUAAAUAUGUAACAACUAUUUCGAUUUUGUCACAUUUAAACCACUUUGUGGUCACUUUGGUAUGCAGAAAGCAGAGUGGACUGCUCUAGCAAUGACUCUAGGCUUGCUUGCAGAAUAAGAAAGUGUAUAUGAGUAAGAAAUUUAGGCUUACGUCCUUAUGUCAGUUGUACAGGCGCUUAUUUAAAUAAAGUCUAUAAUAUCAUUUGCAUUUCUGUGAUUUACCCACUUGAUCCUACACUGUUUGUGUCUUUUAAAAUUGGCCAUCAUUGAAACACAUAUCUGAUAAUGAGUUACACUG
ensembl:lncRNA